GUAAAACUCCGGCAUCUGCGUGGGGCCAGAAUCCUUCACCUCACUCCGAGGCUUGCCGAUCCCAGCCAGCAAUCCGUUACUUCUGCUGUCAUGCUGAUACCUGGAGAACCAACAACUGACAGCAAGGGAAAAAACCUCAGCUGGAGAACCAAGCAGCAGUGCAAAGCUUGCUGUGGGGAAACAGUGUCAUAACCAGCAGGCCAAGGAAGCAAACACCUAGCGAUCACCACCAGCUAGUUUCUGCUAUCUGGAUGCCAUAGUGAUUGAUAAGUAAUAGGCCUAUACCAGAAAUGGUCAUAAAAUAAAGAAAUAUCCAAGUAAAUAUUUUAAGAGAUUAAA